rnacentral:lncRNA from 1 species
CGAGGGACCAAGACGCAUUCAUCUGAAAAAGCAGCAAUAUGUCACCAGCCUCACUCACCAGCCUCAGUUGCCAUCCAUCCUCAGUUUCCACUAGCCUCAGCCUCCAGCUUCCAUUGGUCUUACCAUCAGUAGUCAGGCAGUGAAACUGAAAUUCCUCCUUCACCGUCAGUGUCCACGUCAACCUGGUACCUGUCCAGAUGCAGUGUGGCUACCUUCUCCAACAUCUGCCAAUUACACCGCAUCAUGUGUAGGAAUUGACACCCUCUGUUAUACUCCAUAGCCAUGUAUCCUAUCACUGAUAUAUACAAAGUGGUUCUCUAAUCAACUCAUAUCCAGCAUGAUACAAAGAUUACAACUUUACAUGCUGGUGUUUUCAGGAUCUGGUUUUGUGUGUAACGAUCAUCCACUUCCAAGUCCCUGAUGGUGUCCAUGUGUACCUCCUGAUGACUCGGCAGCUCUGAGGUGUUGAGGGGUGUUUUAUGUUUCAUGGCUCCUACUCCGACUUGAAACACCCACUAACACCUUCUAGUUGAACGAUGACUUGGUUGUAUUCAAAAGCAUCUUAUCAGGUAGUUUUUGGAGAGUGUCUUUUGUCAGGGAAUUGUUUAAAUGACUUUGAAACAGGAAAUCCUUUCUCGUUGAGCGUGUCAGAUCUCACUGGUAUGUCUGAAGAAGUAGCAACAUUACAUUUGGUUGGUUACACUCAACAAAAUAUUUCAGUUAGUAUUCUUGAUACUCGGAGUUAAAGGUGGAUAUUCCUAAUCAUGUACGGUGCUGUGGUAGGAUGUUGGCAGUAUCAGUCUACCACUAGGAUGGAUGUUGAACAGAGCUAAGUGACAAGGUGGUCUCGCCUCAGCUGUAGAUCGACUGCACCCGUCUACCACACCCACCUGCCUCACCCGUCCGCCACACCCGUCUACCACACCCGUCUACCACACCCAUCUACCACAUCUG